UACAGAGGUCUCAAGCGUUGUUCGGAUUCAUUGGGCGUAAAGGGUGCGUAGGUGGUGCUGUAAGUCAGGUGUGAAAUCUCGGGGCUCAACCCCGAAACUGCACUUGAUACUGCAGUGCUCGAGGACUGGAGAGGAGAUUGGAAUUCAUGGUGUAGCAGUGAAAUGCGCAGAUAUCGGGAGGAACACCGGUGGCGAAGGCGGUUCUCUGGGCCUUACCUGACGCUGAGGAGCGAAAGCGUGGGGAGCGAACGGG
rnacentral:rRNA from 1 species